rnacentral:rRNA from 1 species
UCGAGAAUUUUUCUCAAUGGGCGAAAGCCUGAAGGAGCGACGCCGCGUGGGGGAUGAAUGGCUUCGGCCCGUAAACCCCUGUCAUUCGGGAUCAAUGCUUACCAGCUAAUAAAGGGUAAGUUGAUAGUACCGGAAGAGGAAGGGACGGCUAACUCUGUGCCAGCAGCCGCGGUAAUACAGAGGUCCCAAGCGUUGUUCGGAUUUACUGGGCGUAAAGGGUGCGUAGGUGGUUGGGUAAGUCUGAUGUGAAAUCUCCGGGCUCAACCCGGAAAUGGCAUUGGAUACUAUUUGACUAGAGGGUUGGAGGGGGGACUGGAAUACUUGGUGUAGCAGUGAAAUGCGUAGAUAUCAAGUGGAACACCAGUGGCGAAGGCGAGUCCCUGGACAACUCCUGACACUGAGGCACGAAAGCUAGGGGAGCAAACAG